UAUAGCCUGAGAAGAAAUCCCUAACUUGUGGCCUACUCUCACUCCCACAGUCCCGCUCUCCUUUUUAAUUUUUCUUUUCUUAUUAUUACUCCACGAUAUAAAAGAAUGUGAGAAGAAGAUUUGUGUGAUUGGCGAGUGAAGGGAAGAUGAACGGAAGAGGUAGACGGAGAUCUGGUGUACUUGGGUGCAACACCAGCGGAGCACUUCUAAUAGCGUAAGCUUCCUUUACCACUUCAAAAAAGUGUGACUUGCUAUAUGUUAAUACCUUUAGUUCUCCUAAUGCAGAUUGGUUUUUCUGGUUACUUGAGUUGCUUUUAAGGCCGUGGCUUCUUCUUGGAGUCCAAAGCAUGAGAAGAUGCAGAAGAACUUGAGUACAAAGUUAGCUGUGGCAAUAAGAAGUGUUCAAUGGAGUUAUGACAUUUUAUGUUCACCUUCAACAACCCAAGAUGGGUAAUCAAUUUAAAAACAAAAACUUUUUAGAAUACAAAAAACAAUGCCACUUUUCUCUCAUGAUAUGAAGUUUCUAUUUUGGUAAUUUUGAUUCUUUUGAGUCUUGUGUAUAUGAUGAUCAUUGUGUUCCGUUAGUUUCAUGAAUAGGUUGUCUUGUCAGAACUUUUUGAGACAUACAUAAGGCUUUCGUUACGCAGAAAAAAAAACAUGUUAUUCAUACUUCAUUUAGUUUAUGACUUCAUCAGCCUUUAAGAAUUAGCAUGUAAGUACUUCUGUCUUGGAUCCAACUUUCUGCCCUGUUUUAUGUAAUUAAACUUUCAGUGAGUUACACCAUUGAUGAUAGCAAGGCCCCUAUAUUUGAUUUGUUAUUAUAAUCUAUUUAAUCUUUCUUUAUGAUGCUAUGAUUUUCGAAUUUUUCCCUCCCAUUUGAUCCUAUAUCUCCAUGUUCCAUUAUCUUUUCUUUAUAAUUUGAAGUCUGAGAUCAUUGUCUCUUGACAAUACUGAUAAAACAUCCAUGGGGUCACUGAUAUUUGGUGCAGUCAUAUAAUAUCAUUUUUUUUUUCAAUUUGAUGAGUAUAACUACAUGAGUGUUGUAUAGUUAAAUGGAUGAAACUUUGGUGGUCUUAUAUAAAAACUUUAUAUCAAUUAUUCUCUUUUAUUCUCACAUUUACUAGUGCAUUUAUUUUUGUAUUACUUGGAUAUCUAUACUCUUUUGGAUUCAUCUUUGUGUUUUUUACUCUAUUGACAAAAAUGAUUUCAAGUCUUUAGGAAUGGUGAUUUUUUGGCAAUUUGUUUGGUAUAAAGAAUGCUAAACUUCAUAAUUUCUGGCAAAUAUUUUGGGGUCAAUAUAAAUUAAGCUGUCAAAAAAUUAUUAGCAAAAUAUAAGAAAUGGGCUAUAGUAACGGAGGAAUGUGAUUGAUCUCUUAGCAAACAAUAUAUCAUUGAGUUAUUUGAAUUCUUUCUAGAACUUGUAUGUUAUUUUAUGUUUGGUACUU